CUAUAGGAGUGCUGCCCCCAGGAGUGCGAGUGCCCAUAGUUGUUGUAGUGUCUUCAGAUUCAUAACCGCAAGGAGAUGGGGAACCUUCAAGUUUUCCAGGGUGACUGGCAGAAUUGUCAACACCAAGGCUCUUCUUGGCUGAAACCAAACUUGCCUGCAAUGAUGCCAUUUGUUUUUGCCACAUCUCCUCCAUCGACCUCAUCCUGGCCUCAUAAUCUGACCAUCGGGACUCCAAUUGAUUCACUUGCUCCUUUAGGGCAGCAUUUUCCUUUUCCUUCUCUUCAAGGGUUGUCUCAGCCACCAAAACCCGCCUUUCGAGGUCUUCGACAACAGAAGGUAAAAUUUCUGCAGGCAAGUCCUGCUUCACCUCCGUAGUCUUUUUGGCUGGUUUUGGUCUGUCUUGAUUUAACUUUUUUGACUUCUGCAGUUGAUUAAGUUGCCUAUGAGCCAACCAGCAACGAAUAGCUGAUUGUAUCUGCAGAGCAGCCACCAGCUGCUCAUCAUUUUCUUUAUUAGCGUUUUUCUGUUUAGACUCCAGAAAAUCCUUAUACUGCAUUCGAG
rnacentral:misc_RNA from 1 species